AGUGAACGCUGGCGGUAGGCCUAACACAUGCAAGUCGAACGGCAGCACAGUAAGAGCUUGCUCUUACGGGUGGCGAGUGGCGGACGGGUGAGGAAUACAUCGGAAUCUACUUUUUCGUGGGGGAUAACGUAGGGAAACUUACGCUAAUACCGCAUACGACCUACGGGUGAAAGCAGGGGAUCUUCGGACCUUGCGCGAUUGAAUGAGCCGAUGUCGGAUUAGCUAGUUGGCGGGGUAAAGGCCCACCAAGGCGACGAUCCGUAGCUGGUCUGAGAGGAUGAUCAGCCACACUGGAACUGAGACACGGUCCAGACUCCUACGGGAGGCAGCAGUGGGGAAUAUUGGACAAUGGGCGAAAGCCUGAUCCAGCCAUACCGCGUGGGUGCAGAAGGCCUUCGGGUUGUAAAGCCCUUUUGUUGGGAAAGAAAAGCAGCAGGUUAAUACCCCGCUGUUCUGACGGUACCCAAAGAAUAAGCACCAGCUAACUUCGUG
rnacentral:rRNA from 1 species